rnacentral:lncRNA from 1 species
ACGGACACAUCGCCAGUUAUUUUAAAUCGCACACACCUCCUCUGGGCACACGCUCCCGCCCUCGCAGCGCUGCCACCCGCCCGCACCUGCCCCGCGGGGCGGUCGCCCCUGAGGGAGCCCUCGGCCGCCUCCUCGGGGCGGACAUUUUCUGCCCCCCCCUCGGCCAGCGGCCCCGCACCUGCCCGCGCCGCGGGGCGCUCUGCGGCCGGCCCUGCCCGCCCGAUCCUGAGGCGAUUGCGGGAGGCGGGGGGGGCUGCCGGGCGAGGCGCUGAGGCGGCGAAGGGCCGCGAGGAGACGAAGGGCUGUGAGGUGAGGGGCUGUGAGGUGAGGGGCAGCGAGGGGAGGCGCGGGGCGGGGGGCACCCUGCGGUGGGCAGCGGGUCCGCCAUGGCGGGCACGGCGGGUCCCCGCCCGGUAUCCCCGGGCCCGCGGCUCCCGGUCUCCGCUCCGCUCCGCUCCUCCUCCACGUGCGGCGUUUUCCAGGCAGCGGCGCGGAGCAGCUGCCCCAGGGGGCGUCCCCAGCCCCGCAUCCUGCCUCCCCCGGCCCCGGCCCCGGCCCCGGCCCGGCUGCCCGCGGGCGCUGCGCUCCCCACCUGCACGCUCCUUAUGUAAGGCGGCACCCGAUGGGGGAGCCGGGGGGGGACCAGCGCGCACACACACACACACACACACACCCGUGCACGCAGGGGGCAGCCCCCCCGCCCGCAGCAUCCCUCCGCCGCCUGUGACCGCGCCGAUACCUUUUAUCCAGGCAAGCGAUCCACUCGCCGGAGGAGGCGGAAUGGGAGGUGUGCGCGGCCACCAUGUUGGACAGGGAGCGGGUCGCCGCGCACCCGGCUGGCAGCGGCGGCGGCGGCGGCGGCUCCCCCCGCCCGCCCGGCGGUCGCUCGGUCCGUCCUCCCUCCCUUCCCUCCCUCCUUCCCUCCUUCCCUCCCUCCCUCCGCCGCGAUGGGCUCGCCCAGGGCCCCGCCACCGCCUCAGGGCAGCCCGGGGGAGCUGCGCCCUCCGGCGCGGGGGCGGCCGCCGUGCCCUCGCCCCCUCCUCAGAGCCCGGCUUGCCGGUCCCUGCCCUUGCCUCACCAGAGGCGUCCUUGACGGGGCUGGGAGGGGGGACACGAGCCGGUUGUCGAAAACCAGCACCUCAGGGUUAUUGCACCUGCUCUGCACACUUUGCUGUUUCCGUCCUUCCCUCAGCAUAA